UACGUAGGCAGCAAGCGUUGUUCGGAGUUACUGGGCGUAAAGAGUGCGUAGGCGGUUCCGUAAGUUUGGUGUGAAAUCUCCCGGCUCAACUGGGAGGGUGCGCCGAAGACUGCGGUGCUUGAGUGUGGGAAAGGUAGGCGGAAUUCCUGGUGUAGCGGUGAAAUGCGUAGAUAUCAGGAGGAACACCGGUGGCGAAGGCGGGUCUCUGGGCAACAACUGACGCUGAGGAGCGAAAGCGUGGGGAGCGAACAGG
rnacentral:rRNA from 1 species